rnacentral:rRNA from 1 species
AACGAACGCUGGCGGCAUGCCUAACACAUGCAAGUCGAACGAGACCUUCGGGUCUAGUGGCGCACGGGUGCGUAACGCGUGGGAACCUGCCCUUAGGUUCGGAAUAACUCCCCGAAAGGGGUGCUAAUACCGGAUAAUGUCUUCGGACCAAAGAUUUAUCGCCUUUGGAUGGGCCCGCGUUGGAUUAGCUAGUUGGCAGGGUAAAAGCCUACCAAGGCGACGAUCCAUAGCUGGUCUGAGAGGAUGAUCAGCCACACUGGGACUGAGACACGGCCCAGACUCCUACGGGAGGCAGCAGUGGGGAAUAUUGGACAAUGGGCGAAAGCCUGAUCCAGCAAUGCCGCGUGAGUGAUGAAGGCCUUAGGGUUGUAAAGCUCUUUUACCCGGGAUGAUAAUGACAGUACCGGGAGAACAAGCUCCGGCUAACUCCGUG